UACAGAGGUGGCAAGCGUUGUUCGGAUUUAUUGGGCGUAAAGGGUCCGUAGGCGGCCUAGAAAGUCGGAUGUGAAAUCCCACAGCUUAACUGUGGAACUGCAUUCGAAACUUCUAAGCUCGAGUGUGAGAGGGGCAAAGGGAAUUCCCGGUGUAAGAGUGAAAUCUGUAGAGAUCGGGAGGAACACCAGUCGCGUAGGCGCUUUGCUGGCUCACUACUGACGCUGAGGGGCGAAAGCCAGGGGAGCAAACGGG
rnacentral:rRNA from 1 species